ensembl:lncRNA
CUCAACAUUGUUACAGGAAGCACAGUACAGAGUUUCAAGAUACAUAACUCAUAGUAUCCCCAAAAUCAAAAGUCAUAGCAAGCUAUUCUACAAAGUUCAGAAGUAGAUGUUGAACAAAAUAUGGGGAUUCAAGUGGAGACACAUACCAAAAAAUGGAGAACUUAUUUGGAGCUACUGAUUAGAAAUGUUCUAAUUAACUUUAUAAACUCUUCGUAUACCAUCAGAGAUUAGCUUUGCCUAGACCCAGAGGACCUAUGUGUUAGCCACGCCUCUGACAGAAAAGAUAGAUCCUGAAUCCGUGAUCCUUGACCAACCUCCUAUUGUCCCUGUGGGUCUCCAAUGCGUGGCUUCUGCACAGAGAACAUUUUUGGGGAAAUAACCGUUUCACUGUUCUUCGUGGCUUAGGCCCCAGAUCCCUAUGUGCUCUCCUAUCCAGUGAACCAGGCUGGCCACCUAUGAGCCAAACAAAAAGUGUGUACUUGCUUUCUAAAUCAAUUUCUCUUAAUAUAUCAAUAUUUUAUCCCUUAACAGAUGUGAAAGCAGAAUGUCACCAAUGUUUAAUCUGUAUCAUUCAUUACACCUUUAAAUUAGCCUUUAAAAUGAAUCACUGCUAUGAACAAGAACUGAGCCAAUUAAGACAGCAUCACAGUUUUCUUUGCUAAAAAACAAAUCCCAGCUGAGAAGAGGAUCCUAGCGUUGGAGCCAUAACGAGAAAAUACAACAACAAUAUUUCUAAGGGAAUACUGAUCAAAGUUAAGGAGUUUAACAUCUGUCAAAGUACAAAUCCCUCGGCAUCUAGAGAAUCUGAGGACGCGAAGCUGCUAAGUGUCUUAGGCUGGUUCCUUCACAGAAGCCACACUCUCUAAGCAAACCACACUUUUGGGUAUGAAGAUGCAGAUGCACGCACACAGGUAAGUGAAACAAACAAUAAUCUAUCGUCAUUUAGAAGUAAAUGGAUAGGCUGCUUCCCUGUGGUAAUCGAGAUAAACAAAGGGAAAAGGUAGACUCAUUUGAAAAGCCAUUAACAUAAGGAAAUAACCUAUCUGUGUUUAUUGUCCAAGAUAAAGACAAAAUAAGCUUCCAUGAAACUCAGACAAGACUGACCAAAACAGGGUGUGAGGUUGGCAAAAUCUGGGAAUCUGUGUGUUAAUAACAAUCAAA